GAGGUGUACAGUAUUAAUACGUAUACUAUAUUUUGCUUUUAAUUUUUUUCUGUAUUAAUUUUUAUUUUAAGUGGCAGUAUUAAGGGGUUAACCAAAGUCUGUCGCAGAGGCGAAGUAGGGCCGCCCGGGACUAAUGUUACGGUCCGGGCGACACUUACUUGGCGCUAACCACUGUUCGUAACUCGAAUUUUAGCUCGCAACUCGAAGCGAGAGAGACGGCUCGUAUCUCGAAACACUCGCAAGUCGAGGUGCCACUGUAUAUUUCUCGGAGAAGGCGUGUAAAACAGAAUUAAGCUUAUAUUUUGGAAGGGAGCCACCGUCUCUCCCGAUUUGGGUGCCCCUAAUUUCCUUUCCCCUUUUCAUUCCAGAUUUGGCCGGAUAUGGUGGGGACCCGCUUAAAAUACGCUAUUAAGAGUUAAAAUAAAAUCCGGUAGGCUACCGUCGAGAUGGUUGGCGUUGUCCGUAUUAGAUAUUUAAAAGUCGAUAUCGUUUAGACAGCCUCGGUGGCAUAAAAUAAUUGAAAAAAAUGGAAAUCAAAAUUGGCUGUCCAGCCCGAGAAAUCUAUCGUACUUCUGGGAAUGAACGCCAUUUAUUCGCUAAUUCCUCCGUCACGCCGGUAGUCGCGAAUAAAGUCGGAAGGCGGUUCCACCCUGGUGACCCGGCACCCGGGCUGGGCAGAUACGGCCGGCUGGCCCGGAUGGGCUCCACCGCCAGAUCGGUAUCCCCAAACCAAAAGUAAAGGCUGGCCACGGAGUGUUUUCGAUACCACACGGAACGUUCAUUUUUAUUUCGCUUGAAAAACGGGGGUUAAUGAAUUCGGCUGGAAAGAAGAAUCUUACCACCGUUAUCGCUAGCCUUCCACAUUUUUUACCACAUAAACCGCACCACGGAAAAUAAGUAGUCAGUCACCGUUUACUAAAUCACCGCAGCUGCGCGCGCUUUAAAGCCUAAUUUGGAGCGCCCAGUGGCCUAUUCGGUCGGUUAUCAAUUAGUUGGAAGUUGGGUGGAGCCGUCUCUUUCCCGGUAAAACUAUUAAUCGGAGGUAAAAAAAACCUGGUUUAUAGUUCGACCGAGCUAACGUUUCGUUAGCGUCUAGAACGUCUGUCGGCUGCCCACGUAAUUGGCUUGGUUAUAGUUAGUAUAUAAACGAGAGUAAUCCUUAAAUGCCUCGAUAAAAAUUCGUCUCGGCUAUUUGAACCCAGGACCUUCCCCAUUCCGACUCUCCGCCAUUUUGUAUCGGGUGGCCCAGCCACGUGGAUAUAACCGUAACGUCGAAACCUAAAACCAGUUCUAAGCUGUCGAUUUGGUUCGGGUUACGCCGCCUUACGGAUAAGCUCGGAGUACGCGAUAAAUGCAAUGGGUAAGCAAUGAAUUGUUUCUAACCUGGCCCGGCCGACCAGCCUUUCCCCAGCUCGGACUAUAAACCAGCCUUAAGCCAGCCGUCCGCGUCCAAGCUAUGGUCCCGGUUAAUCCGUUUUUUGGUUUUUCAGUCGCUGGACGGCUUCGCCUUUGUAUUGGCGGCGGACGGGCGCUUUCUCUACGUCUCCG
rnacentral:lncRNA from 1 species